rnacentral:rRNA from 1 species
UCCGGCGGCAAUGUCGAAGGGGCCAUACCCGAUCCCAUCCCGAACUCGGUAGUCAAGCCCUUCAGAGCCGAUGGUACUGCGCGGGUGAUCGCGUGGGAGAGUAGGUCGCUGCCGGGU